rnacentral:tRNA from 1 species
UCUAAAAUUGGUUAGAGUGGUUAGAGCGUAGGUCUCGUAACCGAAAGGUCGCGGGAUCGAAUCCUGCUAGAG